ensembl:lncRNA
AUUACAUAUUUUUUCUUCUAAAUCUGGGCAUACUUUUGACAUGUUACUUUCACUUUAAAAUGAGAUGGCCUCAUCUACACUUAUCUGCCGAUACUUUCACAGAUAUAGAAGAGCAGAUGUGAGGUCAGAACCAAGGUCCACGUAGCCUAGUGUCUUGUCUCUGACCAAUACUGGAUGCCAAGGAAGGAAUGCCCUGGGGCCAGAGUGCAGUGAUGCUGUGGAGAUGAUGAUCAGCAGCUUCCCUUGAGUGCACGGGAAGCUGCAUACGUCCAAAGGGAUGGAAGUUGUGCAAUGCCAUGCUUAGUGUCAGCAGCCAUCCUGUUUCUGCUCCUUGAAGACAUCAUAGCCCUCACUGAAAACCAGGGCAAAGAAUCAGUCUCUUGGAACUUCUAACAUGAAGUUACAUGUUUCUGUUAGAGCCCGUGCUACCCCUCUAUCUCUCUGGUACAACAAAGAUUUCCAGAUGCGUUUCCAACCUAAGAAAUGGGAAGGAAGAAGCCACAAAAGGGAUGAUUUAUCUUAUGCUUUAUGAAGCUGCGAAGACACUGUGGAGUCUGGUGGAUGUAAAUGAGCCCAGGACUCAGUAGGAGCACGGAUCUGUGAGGAGGUGGCCUCCUGCAGGAUGUGUCCUGGCAUAGCAUGUCUUGUCCCAGCAGCCUCUCCAAGGACAGAGCUGGGAAAUGAUUUGAGGUAACCCUCAAAAUAUUUUCACCCCCACUUAUGUGGUUGCCAUCAGCUCCAGUCUCAAAUGAGAUCUAGCUAUGUCAGUUGCCCAUGCUUAUGAUUUUGCAUAGAACACGAUUAGCAAGUUAUGUGUAUGUACAGAGUACAAGGUUUAACAUGAAGUAUUUG